rnacentral:rRNA from 1 species
GACGAACGCUGGCGGCGCGCUUAACACAUGCAAGUCGAACGGAAAGGCCUGCUUUCCCUUGUGGAUUGCGGGUACUCGAGUGGCGAACGGGUGAGUAACACGUGAGUUAUCUGCCCCCAACUUGGGUAUAAGCCUGGGAAACUGGGUCUAAUUCCCGAUAGGACUGCAGGGUGGUGCCUGUGGUGGAAAACGAUUUUCUAGUGGUUGGGGAUGAGCUCGCGGCCUAUCAGCUUGUUGGUGGGGUAAUGGCCUACCAAGGCGGCGACGGGUAGCCGGCCUGAGAGGGUGGACGGCCACAUUGGGACUGAGAUACGGCCCAGACUCCUACGGGCGGCAGCAGUGGGGAGUAUUGCACAAUGGGCGGAAGCCUGAUGCAGCGACGCCGCGUGGGGGAUGACGGCCUUCGGGUUGUAAACUCCUUUCGACCGCGAGGAAGCCACCUGGUUGGAAGGGUGGUGACGGUAGUGGUAGAAGAAGCACCGGCUAACUACGUG